rnacentral:misc_RNA from 1 species
UACGUAGGGUGCAAGCGUUAAUCGGAAUUACUGGGCGUAAAGCAUGCGCAGGCGGUUGUGCAAGACAGAUGUGAAAUCCCCGGGCUCAACCUGGGAAUUGCAUUUGUGACUGCACGACUAGAGUGUGUCAGAGGGGGGUAGAAUUCCACGUGUAGCAGUGAAAUGCGUAGAGAUGUGGAGGAAUACCGAUGGCGAAGGCAGCCCCCUGGGAUAACACUGACGCUGGGGCGCGAAAGCGUGGGGAGCAAACAGG